rnacentral:rRNA from 1 species
AGAGUUUGCUUCUGGCUCAGGACGAACGCUGGCGGCGCGCCUAACACAUGCAAGUCGAACGAGCGAGAGAGAGCUUGCUUUCUCGAGCGAGUGGCGAACGGGUGAGUAACGCGUGAGGAACCUGCCUCAAAGAGGGGGACAACAGUUGGAAACGACUGCUAAUACCGCAUAAGCCCACGGUGCCGCAUGGUACAGAGGGAAAAGGAGCAAUCCGCUUUGAGAUGGCCUCGCGUCCGAUUAGCUAGUUGGUGAGGUAACGGCCCACCAAGGCGACGAUCGGUAGCCGGACUGAGAGGUUGAACGGCCACAUUGGGACUGAGACACGGCCCAGACUCCUACGGGAGGCAGCAGUGGGGAAUAUUGCACAAUGGGGGAAACCCUGAUGCAGCGACGCCGCGUGGAGGAAGAAGGUCUUCGGAUUGUAAACUCCUGUUGUUGGGGAAGAUAAUGACGGUACCCAACAAGGAAGUGACGGCUAACUACGUGCCAGCAGCCGCGGUAAAACGUAGGUCACAAGCGUUGUCCGGAAUUACUGGGUGUAAAGGGAGCGCAGGCGGGAAGACAAGUUGGAAGUGAAAUCUAUGGGCUCAACCCAUAAACUGCUUUCAAAACUGUUUUUCUUGAGUAGUGCAGAGGUAGGCGGAAUUCCCGGUGUAGCGGUGGAAUGCGUAGAUAUCGGGAGGAACACCAGUGGCGAAGGCGGCCUACUGGGCACCAACUGACGCUGAGGCUCGAAAGUGUGGGUAGCAAACAGGAUUAGAUACCCUGGUAGUCCACACCGUAAACGAUGAUUACUAGGUGUUGGAGGAUUGACCCCCUCAGUGCCGCAGUUAACACAAUAAGUAAUCCACCUGGGGAGUACGACCGCAAGGUUGAAACUCAAAGGAAUUGACGGGGGCCCGCACAAGCAGUGGAGUAUGUGGUUUAAUUCGACGCAACGCGAAGAACCUUACCAAGUCUUGACAUCCCUUGACAGGCAUAGAAAUAUGUUUUCUCUUCGGAGCAAGGAGACAGGUGGUGCAUGGUUGUCGUCAGCUCGUGUCGUGAGAUGUUGGGUUAAGUCCCGCAACGAGCGCAACCCUUAUGGUCAGUUACUACGCAAGAGGACUCUGGCCAGACUGCCGUUGACAAAACGGAGGAAGGUGGGGAGGACGUCAAAUCAUCAUGCCCCCUAUGAGCAGGGCUACACACGUACUACAAUGGCGUUAAACAAAGGGAAGCAAGACCGCGAGGUGGAGCAAAACUCAGAAACAACGUCCCAGUUCGGACUGCAGGCUGCAACUCGCCUGCACGAAGUCGGAAUUGCUAGUAAUCGUGGAUCAGCAUGCCACGGUGAAUAAAAGGCCGGGCCUUGCACA